rnacentral:rRNA from 1 species
UACGUAGGAGGCAAGCGUUGUCCGGAAUCAUUGGGCGUAAAGAGCGUGUAGGCCGCUCGGUAAGUCCGCUGUGAAAGCCCGGGGCUCAACCCCGGGAUGCCGGUGGAUACUGCCGGGCUAGAGUCCGGAAGAGGCGAGUGGAAUUCCUGGUGUAGCGGUGAAAUGCGCAGAUAUCAGGAGGAACACCAAUUGCGAAGGCAGCUCGCUGGGACGGUACUGACGCUGAGGCGCGACAGCGUGGGGAGCAAACAGG